GCACUGCUGAAGUGUCCCAGAAUAGGACAAAACGGCCUUCCAGUGC
rfam:Schistosoma mansoni, Puerto Rico, WGS project CABG01000000 data, contig: 0141